rnacentral:rRNA from 1 species
GACGAACGCUGGCGGCGUGCUUAACACAUGCAAGUCGAACGGAAAGGCCCUGCUUGCAGGGUACUCGAGUGGCGAACGGGUGAGUAACACGUGGGUGAUCUGCCCUGCACUUCGGGAUAAGCCUGGGAAACUGGGUCUAAUACCGGAUAGGAGCCAUUUUUAGUGUGAUGGUUGGAAAGUUUUUUCGGUGUAGGAUGAGCUCGCGGCCUAUCAGCUUGUUGGUGGGGUAAUGGCCUACCAAGGCGGCGACGGGUAGCCGGCCUGAGAGGGUGGACGGCCACAUUGGGACUGAGAUACGGCCCAGACUCCUACGGGAGGCAGCAGUGGGGAAUAUUGCACAAUGGGCGCAAGCCUGAUGCAGCGACGCCGCGUGGGGGAUGACGGCCCUCGUGUUGUAAACUCCUUUCGCUAGGGACGAAGCUUUUUGUGACGGUACCUAGAUAAGAAGCACCGGCUAACUACGUG